GGAAGAGAAAAUGGAAAAGCCGAAGCCGAUCACGCUGUUUGUGCCGCCGAGAUUCAGCAGCAGCCAGGUGUCCGCCGUGAAGCCGCAGACCUCGGGGGGAGACUCCGCUUUGUUCAGGAGUUUCAACAAACGUACUGAAGAUGAUUUUCAUUUUCCAUUUGCAAUGACUAAUCUCUCCAAAAAUGGGGAAAACGUUGAUUCAGAUCCUGCUUUACAAAAAGUUAACUUUCCCUCCAUGAUUGAGCAGGUUGGCAAUUCUGACAGUUGUCACUAUCAGGAAGGACUAAAAGAUUCUGAUUUUGAGACUUCGGAGCCAACAAGCAGAGUAUACUUGCAACUAUAUAAGGAAGCUGAAAAGAUCAAGAAGUGGAAAAUGAGUGUAGAAUCUGAACUGAAGCAGAAAGAAAAUAAGUUACAAGAAAAUAGAAAGAUAAUUGAAGCACAGCGAAAAGCUAUUCAGGAGCUACAGUUUGGAAAUGAAAAAGUAAGUUUGAAAUUAGAAGAAGGAAUUCAAGAAAAUAAAGAUUUAAUAAAAGAGAACAAUGCUACAAGACAUUUAUGUAAUCUACUCAAAGAAACCUGUGCGAGAUCUGCAGAAAAGACAAAGAAAUAUGAAUAUGAACGAGAAGAAACCAGACAAGUUCAUAUGGAUUUAAAUAAUAACAUUGAGAAAAUGAUAACAGCUUUUGAGGAACUUCGUGUGCAAGCUGAAAAUUCCAGACUGGAAAUACAUUUUAAGUUAAAAGAAGAUUAUGAAAAAUUUCAACACCUUGAACAAGAAUACAAGAAGGAAGUAAAUGACAAGGAAAAGCAGGUAUCACUGCUAUUGAUCCAAAGCACCGAAAAAGAACAAAAAAUACAAGAUUUAACAUGUCUGCUAGAGGAAUCCAGAGAUAAAGCUAAUCAAUUAGAGGAAAAGAUAAAAUUACAGAAUGAAAACUUAAAAGAAUCAAAUGAGAAGCAGGAUUAUUUGACUUCAGAACUAGAAGACAUUAAAGUGUCCUUGGAAAGAAACAUGAAUACUCAGAAAGCUUUAGAGGAAGAUUUACAGAUAGCAACAAAAACAAUUAAUCAGCUCACUGAAGAAAAAGAAGCUCAAAUGGAUGAAUUUAAUAAAACUAAAGCUACUAAUUCAUUUGUGGUUACUGAACUUAAUACUACUAUCUGCACCUUGAAAGAAUCAUUGAGUACAGAACAGCAAAGACUGGAAAAAAAUGAAGAUGAAUUGAAAAUACUUACCAUGGAGCUUCAAAAGAAAUCAAGUGAACUGGAAGAGAUGACUAAAUUUAAAAAUAACAAAGAAGUAGAACUUGAAGAAUUAAAAAAAAUCUUGGCAGAAAAUCAAAAGCUUUUAGAUGAAAAGAAACAGUUUGAGAAGAUUGCUGAAGAAUUAAAAGGAACAGAACAAGAACUAAUUGGUCUUCUCCAGACCAGAGAGAAAGAAGUACAUGAUUUGGAAAUACAAUUAACUGCCAUUAUGACAAGCGAACAACAGUGUUCAAAACAAGCUAAAGAUCUGAAAACUGAGCUUGACAAUGAGAAGCUUAAGAAUACUGAAUUAACUGCAAGCUGCAACAAGUUUUCACUAGAAAACAAAGAACUAGCACAAGAAACAAGUGAUAUGGCUCUAGAACUCAAGAAGCAGCAAGAAGACCUUAAUAAUAGCAAAAAGCAAGAGGAAAGGCUGUUGAAAGAAAUAGAAAAUCUGGAAGAAACAGAAACACAAUUAAGAAACGAACUGGAAGCUGUGAGAGAAGAGCUAAAACAGAAAGGAGAUGAAGUUAAAUGUAAAUUGGACAAGAGUGAAGAAAAUUGUAACAAUUUAAGGAAACAAAUUGAAAAUAAAAGCAAGCAUAUUGAAGAACUUCAGCAGGAGAAUAAGGCCUUGAAGAAAAAAGGUUCAGCAGAAAGCAAGCAACUGGAUUCUUAUGAGAUAAAGGUCAGUAAAUUAGAGUUAGAACUAGAAAGUGUCAAGCAAAAAUUUGAAGAAAUGACUGACAGCUAUCAAAAAGAAAUUGAAGACAAAAAGAUAUCAGAAGAAAAUCUUUUGAGAGAGGUUGAAAAAGCAAAAGCAAUAGCUGAUGAAGCAAUAAAAUUACAGAAAGAAACUGAUAUACGAUGUCAACAUAAAAUAACCGAAAUGGUAGCACUUAUGGAAAAACAUAAGCACCAAUAUGAUAAGAUUGUUGAAGAAAGAGACUCAGAAUUAGGACUUUAUAAGAGCAAAGAACAAGAACAUUCAUCAAUGAAAGCAUCUUUGGAAAAUGAAUUAUCCAAUCUUAAAAAUGAGCUUUUGUCUGUUACAAAGCAACUUGAACUAGAAAGAGAAGAAAAAGAAAAACUCAGAAGAAAGGCAGAAGAAAACACAGUUUCUGUCAAAGAAAAAAAAGACAAGAACAUACAAACAUCUUUGUUGGAAACACCUGAAACUGGUUUUCAGAAAUUUGAUUCUAGAGGAACUUCUUCAAAAAAUAUAUCUCAAAAUUUCUCAUCAGCCAAUCAUGGCAAGUCCAUACAUGACAGAGACUAUCUGUGGACAUCCACCAAAAGUACUUUAUCUACACCGUUACCAAAGGCAUAUACAGUGAAGACACCAACAAAACUGAAAAUACAGCAAAGAGAGAACAAUAAUAUGCCCAUUGAAGAAAGUAAUAAAAAAAGAAAAACGGUCUUUGACUUUGAUGUUAAUUCAGAUAGUUCGGAAACUACUGAUCUUUUGUUUACAUAGAUAAGGAAACAGAGUCACAAAAGUAUUCUUUUCAAGGUCACACAGCUAUUAAGGCAUUGAGUCAAAAUUUGAACCCGCUCUGGCUUCAUAGCCUAUAGCAUGGUUUCAGAGGAAGAGACAUUGCAAAAACCAUGUAAGAACAAGGAUCCACCAGCUUCUUAUCAUUGUGUCAGAAUAUCGAAAAAGAUUUCUUCAUCUCAAACAACCCCUGAAUCUACACUGAAGUUUGGAGUUACAAGAAAAAUGCAGGAGGACCGUUGGGCUGUAAUUGCUAAAAUGAAUAGGAAAACAAAACUAAAGGAAGCAGAAAAGCUAUUUGUUUAAUUUCAGAAAAUUAAUGUGAUUAAGAAGUUUAAUAACAUCAAAUUUAUCGUUAAUUUUUAAAUUUUUACUUUCCAUAAAGCCAAACCUUAUCUGGAAGUUGAGACUUUUAAAAAAUAUGCUUAAAUUAUUUGUAUUUUUCAUAUUUUUGGCCUAAAGGUGAAAUAACUACAUUAUCUGAAAAACUUAUCAUUAUGUUCAGAUAACUGGAUGAUUAUAUUUUGUUGUUACCUUUUGUUGUAUUCAUAAGACUGUUUUUACUAAUUUUUCAAAUUUGUAAAGUUAGCCUUUGAAUGCUAGAAUGUAUUAUUAAGAUUUAUUCCUUGCUAUUAAAAGAUUUUGGAUGCAAA